rnacentral:lncRNA from 1 species
CACAUACGAAAAUGAACCCUGGGUCUGUAACUAUUCGGCCACCUGUGGAUUGGAUUGAGACAACAUCGUCAGCUACUUCCCAUAGCUGCCGGUGAGAGUAGCUGUGUUUUCCGGCCUAAGCCUACAAAUGCCACCACCACAGCCAUUGGCCCUAGUAAGCGAGCAUUGGGCUGAGCCGCACCGGGCUAGGCGUCUAGUGGACGAGACAUAAUUGUCACAGUCGACCCAUAAG